UGUUCGCGCCAAUCACAGUGAGACCCGUUAGGGGCGGGGAUCCCCUCCCGGCCGCACCGCCUCUCUCAGGGGGAGCGGGGUCGGGGUGGGAUGUUGUCGCCAGCCCCGGGGUGAUGCGUGGGCGAAGCGGGAUUGUGUCACUUACCCCCCCGGAGUGAACUAAUGGGCCGCGACUCAGCGAGUGCAGCCCCCGCGUUAUCCCGCCCGCCCGCGAGGUGCCGUUUCGUCACAACAUGGCGGGCGCUGCCGCCUCACAGCCCGCCCAGGCUGUGACGGCGCUGUCGCGGGUCGCAGGGCCGGGGAGAUCGCGGGUGAAGAGCUGCUGGUGUGGUGCAGAAUUACCUGUGCUUAAGGUGUAGGAAAAGCUUACCUUAUUUGAUCAGAUCUUGUGCAUUGAUUGGGCUGAUUCAGGAUCCUGUCUUCUAUACCACCCUGCCCCGGACACCAGAGAAAAAUCUCUACCUUACACUAAAACAAUGGGAUUAUUCUGAGCCUUUCCUGUUUCAGCAAAAGAACUUACUUCUAUCUCCUCUUUUACUCAUUUAUUUGAACCAUUAUUUUUCGUUAGCUGAUUCUGUUUUAUAAAGAUUCUUACAAUGACUGUACUGGAAUGUGCAGAAUGACAUUAAACACAUUAGUGUUUAGGGUAGCCUAAGAAUACACCAAAUAUCUUGAGUAAUAGCUGUUACAAGCAUCAUAUAUUCCUUUUUAGCCAUUCUUCAAGACACACAAUUUAAUUUUCUGUUACUGAUUCUGCUUUUCCUUGCAGAGUGGAAAUUGUGGUGAUGACAUGGACAAUAUUUACAUGACUACUUCCCUCAAAGUGCUGUCCAGAAUUGAUAAAGGCUCAAGAGUGGACUUUGAUUUCUGGAAA